UACAGAGGUCUCAAGCGUUGUUCGGAUUCAUUGGGCGUAAAGGGUGCGUAGGCGGCGCGGUAAGUUGGGUGUGAAAUCUUGGAGCUUAACUCCGAAACUGCAUUCGAUACUGCCGUGCUUGAGGACUGGAGAGGAGACUGGAAUUUACGGUGUAGCGGUGAAAUGCGUAGAUAUCGUAAGGAGACCAGUGGCGAAGGCGGG
rnacentral:rRNA from 1 species